GAUGAACGCCGGCGGCGUGCCUAAUACAUGCAAGUCGAGCGAACAGACGAGGAGCUUGCUCCUCUGACGUUAGCGGCGGACGGGUGAGUAACACGUGGAUAACCUACCUAUAAGACUGGGAUAACUUCGGGAAACCGGAGCUAAUACCGGAUAAUAUAUUGAACCGCAUGGUUCAAUAGUGAAAGACGGUUUUGCUGUCACUUAUAGAUGGAUCCGCGCCGCAUUAGCUAGUUGGUAAGGUAACGGCUUACCAAGGCAACGAUGCGUAGCCGACCUGAGAGGGUGAUCGGCCACACUGGAACUGAGACACGGUCCAGACUCCUACGGGAGGCAGCAGUAGGGAAUCUUCCGCAAUGGGCGAAAGCCUGACGGAGCAACGCCGCGUGAGUGAUGAAGGUCUUCGGAUCGUAAAACUCUGUUAUUAGGGAAGAACAAAUGUGCAAGUAACUAUGCACGUCUUGACGGUACCUAAUCAGAAAGCCACGGCUAACUACGUG
rnacentral:rRNA from 1 species